CUGUUGAGCUUGACUCUAGUUCGACUUUGUGAAAUGACUUGAGAGGUGUAGAAUAAGUGGGAGCUCCGGCGCAAGUGAAAUACCACUACUUUUUGUUGUAAAAGAGUUGGGAAAUCGUGUGUUUUAUUUCUGAAUAAUAAGUUCCCUUUAUAUAGGGGUUACAAGGAAGAGAUAAAUGGAAAGAGUACAAAACCUAAUCCAAGAGGAAAGAGGAAAACUACUAAAG
rnacentral:ncRNA from 1 species